rnacentral:rRNA from 1 species
GACGAACGCUCGCGGCGUGCCUAAUACAUGCAAGUAGAACGCACAGUUUAUACCGUAGCUUGUUACACCAUAAACUGUGAGUUGCCAACGGCUGAGUAACGCGUAGGUAACCUGACUGGUAGCGGGGGAUAACUAUUGGAAACUAUAGCUAAUACCGCAUAAUAUUGAUUAUUGCAUGAUAAUUGAUUGAAAGAUGCUAUUGCAUCACUACCAGAUGGACCUGCGUUGUAUUAGCUAGUAGGUGAGGUAACGGCUCACCUAGGCGACGAUACAUAGCCGACCGGAGCAGGGGACCGGCCCCACUGGGCCGGAGACACGCCCCCGACCCCUAGUGGAGGCGGCAGGAGGGAAACUUCGGCAAGGGACGAAAGUCUGACCAAGCGACGCCGCGAAACUGAAGAAGGUUGUCGGCUCGACAAGCUCCGUUGUAAGAGAAGAACGGGGGUUAGAGUGGAAAGUUCACAUGGUGACGGUAUCUUAGCAGAAAGGGACGGCUACCUACGUG